CCUGAGUCACACACCCAUGUUAUUUCUCUCUCCGGCUGCAAUAAGGUAAGAAUCCGGCUCACAAUCUAUGUGAGAAAUUAGGGAGCCGUUAAGGCAGGGGUUCCCAACCCAGUCCUCAUGUACCCUUCUACCAGUCCAGGAUUUAGGGUUCACCCAGUUGUGUCUAAGGAGUUUUUAGGAAAGAAAAAGAUAACACCUUAGACACCACAGGGUAAUCCCUAAAUCCUGGACUGGUAGGGGGUACAUGAGGACUGGGUUGGGAACACCUGCAUGAAGGUACCAUGGGCCAAUGUGGAUUAGGCAAGUGCCAUGUAUUUAAAUAUCGCACAUUAUUAUUUAUCCAUAUCUGGGCAGAUUCGGGCAGUUUUUCUAUCUGUUUAUUAAACCGCCCUCUCCCCUCCUCUGUAGGAGUCCUUGGGGCUAAUAUGACUCCAAUAUGAUUUCAUUUUAUACAUUUUAUACACCACCAAGUGUAUUUUCUGAACAGCGCUGCAAACACGUGUCAGGGAUGUGGUUAGUCGAAUAGUUUCCAUGUUAGUAUUUUGAACCUUUUUUAGAACACAGCACUUUGAUGGAUUGCCCCAAUAUGUCCUGUGUCUCCUCUUCUUCUCUGCACUGUCUCUGACCUGACAGGGAACGAGUAUGGGGGGGACACUCAUUUCCAGGAGAGAGGUAAACAGUGAGCUGGGAAUUUCUACAUUUUAUUUUAAACUUACAAAAGUCAAAUAAGUGUGUCUUAUCAGAUCUAAAACAUGGCUGUUAUUAUGUUACAAUCUAAAAUAAUAAACAAAAAUAUCUACAUGCAUGGAAAUUAAAUUCAGUGUUUGAAUUUUCACACAUCAAAUGUCUUUAUUAUUGUUUUAAAUCUUCCCACUUUCCUUUUCUGAGUUUGGGAUUUGGUUAAAAAUACAUCAUUAUUGUGUAUUUUAUUUAAAGAAAAAUGACCCAAUCUUCCUGAGUACAUUUAAUUGUAUUUAUAAGAUCUCACAAGCACAAACAUUUGUUAAAUAUAGGGGAUAAUGAAACAACCAAAUAUAAUAUUCAAAUCUUGUGACGUAACACGUCUCAUUUACUUCCUUUCUGACCAACGACGAACAAUGGAUGGAGUAGUCAGAACUUGGUGGAUAAUAACGUAAAGAUGGUUUUACAACGAUCUGCAAAACCACCAAAGAAAAUAGCCGUCUGGAGGUUCUGCUAGGCAAUCGAUCACUGGGACACUGUGCAUUGUUAGGGUUAGAGUUAGCCUGGGCUAGAGAGUGCUGGCCUUAGGCUAGUUAUAGUAGUUUGAGUAAGAGUUAACUACAUUUACCUGGAGACAGAAUACCCAAAUUAACCAUAAGACUUCUGAGGCAGCCAUCUACUGUCCAAGGGUUCUAUAUCACUGGUAACCUUUACAGAUCCCACUGGAAGGAUAUUCCAGGUAUCCACUGUUACCGCUCCCACUGGAAGGCCAUUCCAGGUAUCUACCAACCUUUCUAUAUCACUGUUACUGCUCCCACUGGAAGGCUAUUCCAGGUAUCUACCAUCCUUUCUAUAUUACUGUUACUGCUCCCACUAGAAGGCUAUUCCAGGUAUCUACUACCCUUUCUAUAUCACUGUUAUUGCUUCCACUGGAAGGCUAUUCCAGGUAUCUACCAACCUUUCUAUAUCACUGUUACUGCUCCCACUGGAAGGCUAUUCCAGGUAUCUACCACCCUUUCUAUAUCACUGUUACUGCUCCCACUGGAAGGCUAUUCCAGGUAUCUACUACCCUUUCUAUAUCACUGUUACUGCUCCCACUGGAAGGCUAUUCCAGGUAUCUACUACCCUUUCUAUAUCACUGUUACUGCUCCCACUGGAAGGCUAUUCCAGGUAUCUACCUACCCUUUCUAUAUCACUGUUACUGCUCCCACUGGAAGGCUAUUCCAGGUAUCUACUACCCUUUCUAUAUUACUGUUACUGCUUCCACUGGAAGGCUAUUCCAGGAAUCUACUGCCCUUUCUAUAUCACUAAUAAUGCUCCCACUGGAAGGCUAUUCCAGGUAUCUACUACCCUUUCUAUAUCACUGUUACUGCUCCCACUGGAAGGCUAUUCCAGGUAUCUACUACCCUUUCUAUAUCACUGUUACUGCUCCCACUGGAAGGCUAUUCCAGGUAUCUACUACCCUUUCUAUAUCACUGUUACUGCUCCCACUGGAAGGCUAUUCCAGGUAUCUACUACCCUUUCUAUAUCUGUUACUGCUCCCACUGGAAGGCUAUUCCAGGUAUCUACUACCCUUUCUAUAUCACAGUUAUAGUGCUCCCACUGAAAGGCUGUUCCUGGUAUCUACACUAUUAUAUUACUCUGUUUUCAAUAGCAGAUUGUAAUAAAAUGUGUAAUAUGUGUAUUGGUUGUGAAAUUCAUUGUACUGUCUGUUUUAUUUUUAUUUAUUCAGAUUCCAGGACAAUGUCAGCUAGUAUAGAGGUAAGAGCUCACUGAGUGACUGCAAUAUGAUGACCUGUGUGCAUUUUAUUAACUGCUUCCUUCCCGGUAACAUGGAUGCUCAAACUAAUUUAUCACUACGCAUAGCACAACAACAAGCAUGAAAUACAGUAUUUAUACCAUAAAGCCCCUUCACUAGCAUUGCUGAGUAAUGGAAUUAUUUCACUAGGCACGAUUCCCCAGUUCUACAUCUGGAGCUUUAAAUCCUCUCAUACAUUACAGUAACCUGUUUAGGAUAGAAUUCACGGCUAGAUUCCAGACGUCACAAAGGAGAUAGGAAGGGGCACGAUGAGUACACUACAGUGGAUCCUUGCAGGAUGCAAUAACUUCUGAUAUCCUUUGUAGCAGAGAUAAACGAUAUAACUGUACUUACUGUAUGUAGCCAUUAAACGCACAUAUUAAUAAAACCUUCAUCAUUAAUAUCAGCUUUAAUACUGUUUGAAAUGUGUGUUUAGCAGUUACAACUUGGUUAUGUGUUUUUACCCAGUUAAAAUAUAAAGUUUACGAGUGUGGUAACAGUUAUCUAAACAUGGAAGGUGUCUUGAAAUGAAGUGCCACACAUAAUGAAAGUCACGCUGGUUAGAGCUAAGUUGGUGACAUUUUCCUCAAUUGUCAUUUUUGCCCAAAUUUUGGAAUUUUACAUUUUAUUUCAUAAUUCGUCUAAAUUUUGUAAAUAAUGUAGAAAUAUCUGGAUUUACAUCAUUUAAUUUCUUUAUGUGUAUCUUGGAACAAAUCUGUGACCGUUUUAUCGCAUAUUAUCGUAUGCGUUCUACUUCCCAUAUUUUAGAUAAAUGCUAAUUAAAGAUAUAUGUUUUAUUUUAACAGUCAGGAAAUUAAAUUGGGAAUAGUCCUUGUUGAUUGAAGGCAGGAUUAGUAAUCACACAAUGUGUCUCUGUGACUGAUAAUACUGAUAAUAUCUGGCUUGUAUCUUUUAUUCUCUUUGUAGAAUUAUAUUUUUACAAUAAUCGAUGUGAUGUUAUUCCCUUUUUAUCUGCUGGGGAAGCUGUUCAUGUGUAUCAUCCUGUAUAUAAAUAAGGUAAACUAUCACCUUAGUAGUUGCUGCCUUGUGUCUAUAACUCUCUAUAAUAAUAUGUCAGAAGUCCAUUUAACCACUUAGUAGUUACCGUAGGAUGAGUCAUAAUGCUUUAUAAGCUUAGUUUAUUUCUUUAUACCCAGUUUAUGAGCCAGGUAACAUGCAGCCAUUGUCAGAGUUACACACUGCACAAAUAUACUCCAUAUCUCAGAUCGCUUUCCGAGGAGGUGAAAAAGGUGAGUCCCACCUGUGCAUACAGUAUAGUGACGCACAAAGGAGAAUAGAAAGGGGUCAGCUUAUUGUUGUUAUGGGGCUUAGAGUGAUUUUUAACUCCACAAAUACAGUCCUGACACCUCCUGCGUGUUAUUCUAUAAACCCCAGUCUGGCCGUAUCUGGAACCGGAACGGUAACAUCGCCAGAUGAACACUUUAUUCAGAUCCAAACAGGAAAGGGCUUAAUUCGACUAAUUUAACCUCUUUAUUACAGAAAGUUAAUCUGCUUCUAUACACUGACAAAUAACGGGUUAAAAUGCGAUAUAUUCAGUUCUGUAUGAUUAGCUUUCUUCGUCCGCAGAAUACGAACCGUUUGAUCCUAACCCUGUAUUUACAUAGACGAUCCUUAUUUUUGUGUUGCUUUACACUAUAUUAAUGAAAGAAAAAGAAUUGAGUUCCCUAAUAGAAGUUUAAAAUGUAACCUUUAUUUUCUCAAUAAAACUAAAUCGACAGAAUAAAAUGAAACCGUUAUAUUUGGUAACAAUGGCGCUUUAGUGCUCAAAGUGAUGAUUAAAAAGCAGGGUCUGCAUUUGAUAAGUGAGUUAGCCUGCCGAGUUUCUAAGUGUCACUGGCAAGUCGGUUACAAUAAAUGUAUCGGGAUACAGCUAGUAAUGUUUCCUAGGUGAGAUGCCACAGUUGUUAUAGUUACUAGUGCAUAAUUAUACCUAGGGUUGCAAAUAAUGUAUCAAUAUAUCAUUAAUGCUAUUUGUAAGAUUCAGUAAACACAGUUGUUGUUAAUCACAGAAUAAAAUGAUAUCUGUUUGUUGCAUGAGACAUAUCUAUUUGUGCUCGUUUGGGGUGAUCUGCUGCCUCUUAGUCUUAUACACCUUUGUUUAAUUAAAUUAAACAAUUUGUUAUAACAUUAACAAGUGUGAUGAAAAAUUCAGACAGAAAAAUAUUAUUAAUAUAUAUGUGGAGAUAGGAUUUUAGAUCGUGGUCAGACAGUUAUAUACUAAUCUCUUACGAUGCAGAUCGAUACGUGAGAAAAAAGACAAACUGCUAUAGUUACUUAAACUUCUGCCCUGCCUAACGGUAUAGGAGAAGGAAGGCAGGCUGCCGCAGCCAUCCACUACCCUCCCAGUAAAGUAAUACUUCCUGAUAUUAUUUUUAAACCUUUGCCCCUAUAAUUUAAGACUAUGUCCUCUUGUUGUGGUAGUUUUUCUUCUUUUAAAUAUAAGUUUUAUUCUGCAAUCCAUGAACCAGUUUAGUAGCCCUUCUCUGAACCCUCUCUAAGGUAUCAAUAUCCUUCUGAAGAUACGGUCUCCAGUGCUACAUACAAUACUCCAAGUGAGGUCUCACCGGUGUUCUGUACAAUGGCAUGAGCACUUCCCUCUUUCUACUGCUAAUACCUCUCCCUAUACAACCAAGCAUUCUUCUAGCAUUUCCUGCUGCUCUAUUACAUUGUCUGCCUACCUUUAAGUCAUCAGAAAUAAUCACCCCUAAAUCCCUUUUCUCAUAUGUUGAGGUUAGAACUCUAUCAAAUAUUCUGUACUCUGCCCUUGGGUUUUUACGUCCAAGAUGCAUUUUCUUGCACUUAUCCACAUUAAAUGUCAGUUGCCACAAUUCUAGUUUACCUAAAUCAUUUGCCAUGUGGCUUCUCCCUCCUGGAAUAUCAACCCUGUUACAUAUCUUAGUAUCAUCAGCAAAAAGACAUACCUUACCAUCAGGACCUUCUGCAAUAUCACUAAUAAAAAUAUUAAAGAGAAUGGGUCCAAGUACAGAUCCCUGAGGUACCCCACUGGUGACAAGUCCAAGCUUCGAAUAUAUUCCUUUAACUACAACCCUCUGUUGCCUGUCACUCAGCCACUGCCUUACCCAUUCAACAAUAUUGGAAUCCAAACUUAAAGAUUGCAGUUUAUUGAUAAGCCUUCUAUGUGCAACAGUGUCAAAAGCCAUGUAUACAGAGAAGCUCCUGUAUAAUCAGAGAGAGAUAUUUAAAGUAAGUGUUUCCUUUCCUUGGAGCACUUUGUGGUUGAUUGCACAUAUUGUUGCACUGUGUAUUGUCUGCAUUUUGUACAUGAAACAAAUACCACUCUGAAACGCGCUUUUUAAAGUUACACUUUACAUUUGUUGUACUUUAGUUGCAUAUUUGUUUUCAAGGUACAGCGCACCUUCUUUUCUGGUUUUUAUUUUUGGGAGUGUACUUUAUAUGGGCUGUUACACUGUGUAGGUGCAGCUUUUUUAUAUGGUUUUUAUUUUGUAUAAUUCACUUGUUUUUUAGACAUAUUUUGGGGAAUUAUUACCUUUUUGUGUGUUUCAUGUUCUGUUUUCUCACUAAUAUUUCAAAUGGUGCAAGGAAAGGGAUACAAUAUAAUUCAUACAAUGUUUUACCUCUCCCACAUCCUUUAUAAGAUGUAAGAGUAGGUAAAAAUAUUAAAAUUGCACAUGUUUACAAAGCUGUCAUUUUCUUAUCCCUGAAUAUCAAGCCAUACAAACAGAUAUGUUUUGCCUUAUGUUUAUUUCUUUGCUCCACGUUCUCAGUAUCAGUCUUAUCCUAUUGUUAUUAAGAAGCUAUUAGACCGAGUCGUGUUAACGAUUUUUUUUCUGUUUGUAUUCUGUCCCCGGCAGGUCUGUUGUUGUGCUCCUAACACGCUCGAUGGGCAAGUCUGUUGUUCGGCUCCUAAGCCUCUUGUUGUUGGAAUCUUCUCUCGGUCAGCAGAGGAGAACUACCAAUGGCUGGGGGAAAGACUGAGAUUAUUUAAAGAUUCGGUUAAAGAAAUAAGAAAUUGUUACAUUGGCAAUAGUGGAUUUCGUACAUUCACCAAGGAGGUCGAUCAAUGCCAAUUUGCGAUCCUGUAUCACACAAAGAAUCACGGGAGGGUUAACAUAACUAAUGUAACAGACUCGAUUUAUGAUAAGGAACUCAAAUACCUAUCCGAUACACUGGGUAAGUACAGAGCAUACUGGGUAAUUGGCACGAUUCUAUAUAUCCCAGUACCCCAAAUAACAAGAACUAUACAGUCACUAGGAUGUCAUAUUUCCCAUAAUGCUCCUUCUUUUUUUCUUUGAAGCAUAUCUACCAAUGAGUUUAAACUCUCUUUUUCUCGCUGUGCUAUAAGUAGUAAGUAGUUCUGUAUUACAUUCCUCGUGCUAAAUCUUUAAGGGAGCACUAAAAGCAUUAAAACAACUUUAGCUUAAUGAAGCAGUGUUGGUGUAUAAAUCAUGCCCCUGCAGUUUCACUGCUCAAUUCUCUGCCAUUUAGGAGUUAAAUCACUUUGUUUAUACAGCCCUAGCCACACCUCCCCUUGCUGGGACUCACACGGCCUCCCCAGAAAUUUCUUUAAAAAGUGUCAAAAUGUUUUAGCUUCUCUUAUCACACAGUGUGUUUUAUUUAUAUAUAUAAUUGCUCUGUUAAUAUGUUACUAGAGCAAGCAUCAACCUCCUGUGUGUGAUUAAAGUUUAUAUACAAAUUAGGAGGCAAGAGCUUCUAAGAUAAACACACGGUGCUGUAAGAUAAGAUUGAUAUUCAAAACAAUUUAAGCAGGCCGUGUGAGUCACUGCCAGGGGAUUAGGGCUAUAUACACAGAAUCAAAAUAUUGUGACUCCUAAAUGGCAAAGGAUUGAGCAGUGAGACUGUAGGGACAUGAUUUAUACACCAAAACUGCUUCAUUAAGCCAAAGUUGUUUAGGUGACUAUAGUGUCCCUUUAGUAAAAAUCUAAAGGCUUUGUGACAAACUUACCAAGGACCCAUGUCACAAUAUCUCUUUACAUUGAUACAUAUGUAGGGAAUGGGAUGUUUACAAUGAGGUUUAUUCACACAUAUUGUUAAGUCAGUAAUGAAAUAAUCAAAUUUCCAAGUUUUGAGCCAAUAUCGCCAAUUAGAAGAAUUCUACCACUCCACUGUUGUCAUAGCUUGAUUAUUGGACCCUGAAUUCACUGCAUACAAUUUACUGUUUAGAGAAUAAACCCCCGGAGAUGGUCACUAGACCGGUUAUUGGAGAGAAUUGGGAAGGAGGUAACUCAUUGUAAGCUGGAAUUCCGGAAUUAGGACUGGAGCUCCGAUACAGGGACAUUGUUUAACGCAGCCAUAAUGACUUAAAUAUGGCGAUUAUUUAUUGAAUAAAUUACUAUUUUUGGAUACGUUAAUUCUGCUAAGGAGCGUCCAUCGACCCAAGCUGGAUGAUGUGAAUUAGACAAAGAAAGACAAUGAGUCUGACUACAUGUGUGUUUUAUACAAACCAAGAGAAAGAAACAAUAAGGUCACAAGAAGCGAGAGCUCUCAGUGUUUGUCACAGAUUAUUAUUAUUAAUAAUAUUAUUUAUGGAACAUAUUUGUCGAAAGUGUAAAUAAAGCAGAAAUUGAUUAACAAGAUAAACUGACAGAACCAAGAGAGGUAGAGGGCUGUCCAGCUUCCCUGAGUUCAUAAAAUCUCUGCUUUGCAGGUCGAGGGAAAGUCAUUGUGGUGAUUGAUGACCUGGACAAGACCGACUUUGAGCAGAAAUCCCGUAUCCUGCGAGAACAGCAAAAUAUCGCUGAUCAGGCCGCAGAGCUGUUCCUUAUCAGCCCACACGACAAGAUAAACCCACAACUAUUAGACAAAAAGUUACAGCAGAUAGGAGAGCACAUAAAUGCAGGUACCUGCUGUAUCCACAUGGGGGCAGCCAUGAGGCAUAUUAAAUAACUCGCUCAGAGAUAUUAAUACAUUAGUAACAUUUUAUUACAAUAUUUCUAGGAGAUAAAACACCAUCAAGGUUUGCAUGAGAAACAUGAAAACUUAACUCAGUGUGAUAUUGGCAAACAAAAUGAAUCCCUGCACUCAAACUCUCACUACUCCUAGGCAGCAAUGACCAUAGUAGACAUCAGUCCCAAUACAUACAAUAAAAAACAAAGAAAAGAGUUACUUGCCCACUAUCCCAAAUCCCUAUGUGUAUUUACACAAAUGGAAGGUUUUAGUAUCACUCCAACGGCCAUUUAAACUCACCUGCCACGUCAAGGCAAACCGCUUCGGUGGGUCCUACACUGACCAUUCACGGUGCUUCCUUCAGCUUUAGCCAAAGUUAUCUCUAAUGAGACAGAGAGGGUUUUGUUAUAUAAACCCCUACAUACUUAUUAACCCUUAAUAGGGAACACAGCAUCGGAACAUUGUAACCGCUCGUACCCCUACUUACCACGAUAACGUCUUAAAGCAUAGAAUUUAGCAGGGCUAACCGGACAGAUAUCUUAGCCAUAAUAUUACAGAGUUCGUAAGAGAUCCUCUAGUUAAAAUACAUAAAUAAUUAGAAAACAAUGAAAAUAGGGAAUUUGAAACAAUAACCUCUUGUCUUUAUAAAAUAUUUUAUUGAAUAUAAAUGAAUAUACAUCAAUGAAUAUAGACAUAUAAAAACGUAAUAAUCCAUUAAUAUUUCAUUAAGAAGGGUAUGAAUGUGUGACAUGUCAUGAUUCCCUUUUAUUCCAGAAAUUUGGUCAAUAAGGGGUUAAUCUUUAUUUGGACUAGAAGUUAGGUUGAUAUUUGCAUUAUUUUGGACAAGAUGGUGUAAACAUAUUUUGCACUGAAGGUAGGUACGAGGUUAUUAAUUAAAGAAACAGUUGCAGUUUAAAGAAAUGCAAUUUAUCAAUGUGUAUAACACCUACAAUUGCCCAUCACAACAUGGCUGUGCAAUACAAAAACAUAUACACUAAAAUACGUCCUGUGCUCUAACUCCCACUACUUCUGGGUAGCAGCUGUAAUGACCAUAGUACACAUCAGUCCUAAAACAUACAAUAAUAUCCCACACAUUUGCAUAACUAGAGGUUUGUUAGUGCGUUGAAAUGACAGGUGAGAUUACACUUUGAUGGCCAUUGGAGUGAUAUUUAAAACCUCCAGCAAUGUAAGUGUGCAUGGGGAUUUGGGAUAGUGUGCGAGUAACUCAGUGUGAUACUGGGCCCAUUAGUUCUGCCAGACCUGAAGGGAAGGGAAAAUGUCAUGUUUUUAGCUCUUGGAUAUUAUUUUUGCAUUUACACAUUCACACAUUGAUACAUUAAUACAUUCACAAAUUGAUACAUUGUACACACUGAUUCAUUCACACAUUGAUACAUUAAUACAUUCACACAUUGAUACAUUGUACACACUGAUUCAUUCACACAUUGAUACAUUGAUACAUUCACACAUUGAUACAUUGAUACACACUGAUACAUUCACACAUUGAUACAUUGAUACACACUGAUACAUUCACACAUUAAUACAUUGAUACACACUGUGACAGAUCCAUCUGUAAAGACUAAGAUUGCUGGUUCGUCUGUUUUACCUUGUUCGUGGAAUUACCCGUUCGUAUGCCCCUGUUCAGUGAAUUGACUUUUCCGCCGAACAAAACUACCGAAUGGACGGCCACCCAGAAGAGAAGUGUGCUGCUGGUUAACCUCUUGAUCCCAAUUAGAACGUUGUGGUUAACCGCAGACACUUCUCAAUUAAACCCGAAUACAGGGUGGUCGUCGUUCGUAUGUCGACCACGAGGCGGCGGCCUUUUUAAACCAUGCGAAAGACCAGCAGUGCUCGGCAUUGAUUUCAUGGAACUGAAAAUGGACACUUUUUCUGUCGAACACCGCUGAAGCCGCCGACCUCCCUUCCUAAUCGACAGAAGGAUGCGAAACACCGGCCGUUCGGGAGAUUUACACACAUGAAUGGACUUACCCCAGAUAGCCAUCCCAUGGAGUCAAUCGCAUACCGAAAGACUGUAAUAGACUUUGACUCCAUGCCGAUUGAACUAUGCGUAUGGGAUCUGAGCGCUAUUUGCCAAUAAUAUGCACUCAGUUCCAAGCUAUCUGGGGAUAUGUGAUACCAAUGGGUAGCAUUCGACAAUGUAAAGUUAUGGAUUUUUAUAUGUUUUGCUGUGUUGAAUUUAAAAUGGCGAUUUGCCUCUGUCCUGCAGAUAAUUGAAUUUCUUCUCAAUUAUCUCCAGGGCAAAGGGGAGGGAAUUCUCAUGCAUUGUGGGAAUGUUCUGUGUCUGUGGGUCCUGACUUGCCAUAUGUCUGUCUAUUGUCACAGUCUCCCAUUUGGUCCCCUAGGGGAGUGUCCACCAAGUGGGAGACCUGCAUAAAUACGGGCAGGUAGCCCACAGUAAAGCCAGUUCUUGUUUUACCCACAAUGCGGAGCUUGGUCUCGUUAUUGGGGGGAUUUAUUACCGACGACUAGAGACUGCUGGAUGGGAUUAUUAGCCGCUUGGGAGAUAUACGCGUUCGGCUAAUAUUGGCGGUUCGUGAGUUUGGAGCUCGUGGAGUGAAGUGCCCGUACGGAUCCUGUUCGUGAGUUUACAGUGUUCCCCGGCUUGCGGUUCGCAUGAUUGUACUGGAUACGCAUGCAGCCUAUGCUAUUGCGAGAGGGGAGCAUUCACUAAACGGCGGUUUGUACAUUUAAUGCUGAGGGUACCGUAACACACACUGAUACAUUCACACAUUGAUACAUUGAUACACAUUGAUACAUUCACACAUUGAUACACACUGAUAUAGUCACCCAUUAAUACAGUCUCACAUUCACACAUUCACACAUUAAUACAUUCACACAUUAAUACAGUCACACAUUGAUACAUUGAUACAUACUGAUACAUUCACACAUUAAUAUAUUCACACAUUGAUACACUGAUACAUUCUCACAUUGAUACAUUCUGUCAUUCACACCUGCGCAUUAAUGCAGUCACACAUUUACACAUUGAUACAUUCACACAUUGAUACAUUCACACAUUAAGUAUUCUCACAUUAAUACAUUCACACAUUGAUACAUUCACACAUUGGCACAUUCACACAGGUCUUAUGUUCUGAUUGUGAUAACUGGUAUUGUGUAAUAUUCUGUUAUGUCCAUAUAUUCCUGAUAACGUGUGUGACCUGUUCUCUGUGUUUUGGCAGGUGCCGAGGAUCUCUGCUGUGUUAUGGUAAGAGCAGACUGUAUGUUGGUCCAUAUGGAAAGUGUUUUACCAUGUGAGCGAUGACUAAAACCGAGGUAACCAGGGCAUGGACACUUGUCUGGCUAGAUAUAUCUUCUGCUGCGAUCCUGACCAUAUUGAGAUGUUUGGCGAGUAUGGAAGGAGGUUAUGGAACAUUGUAAACACUAAGCAUUCCCUGGCCCCAUACCGGGAUUAGUAAUCAAGGGUAAAAACAGUUGCCAAGCACUGAUCUCCUCCUCCUCCUGUGUCCCCACAGCUCCUGCAUUGAUCCAAGCCUGUCAUUGCAGGAUUUAUCUCGUUGGUAGAGUGCUGGCCCAGCAUGGCAUGGCUCAGGGAAGCUAAUAAAAACAGAGAGGAGCCAACUCUCAGCCGAUCCCAGCUAUGACUGUGUACCCUGGAAUGGUGUCAGGGCAUUCCUGGCACCAUAACUACUUCAGUGGCCUGCAGUGAUUACGAUGCUCUGAGUUUUCUAUUUAAAAGUAUUUUGAUACAAUAUGAAAAUGUUAAAUGGCCAAGACUCAGACAAGCAGCAAAAGAAGUGCUUUGAGUAUUCCUUACUGAGCACAAAUAUUUAAAGCAGACGCCAGACACUAGACUCCCAAAAUGUCCAAACAUGCGUUUAGUCAGCCGGAUAGGAAUGGCUGUUGUAUUGUUUGUUGUGUAAUGUAAUAAAACAUCAAUUUAAUCAGAAAUUGAAUGACAUUUAGAUGGUGCAACUCUCCCUCUAGUAACGUCAGUGAGGGCAGGGGGUGAUUCUCAGCCCAAAGCAAGGGUUCCAGGUUGGGUAAUGUCGAUGCUUUGCAUAAUUCUAUGACAGAAGGUUAUUCAUUGGCUGAGAGAAGUCAGCUGAUGCUCUUGUCCAAUGAAUGGUAAUGAGCACCCGGCUUCGGAAGCUCUGGAGAUGUCGGAUGCUGUCACUGACCAGAUGGCAUCUGGUAAAGACCCCUGUGAGAGAGCAAACCAUUGCAAAACAGUUGGCCUUCAUUACUGGGAAACGGGGCCAGAGUACUCCUUACACCAUAACCACUACAGAACCCGUUAGUAGUUGUGAUGUUGGGAGUAACCUGUUAUGGUGAAGUGUUCUGUAUUAGUGAGCAAUAUGACACGUUCCCAGGAAACCAAAACAUUUCUCAGACUUUACAAGAGGAGGAAGACCUUUAUUUGAGGAAGAUUUAGCCCAUGACACUCUUGUUUUUGUGUUUUUCAGGAUCGCUGUAGGUCCCAGGAUGUAAGUUACCAGGUACGUAUGGCGUCAGGAGGCCAGGUUUGUCCACUGGAAAGCUGAGUAGCAAACCACAGCAAACUCCUGUUUAGGACGGACAGUCCUUAUUUAAAAAAAUUACCCUCAAUACCCUCAGUUCAUCUUUUCUCUUUUCUAGAAUCUCCAUAUUGUUGGUGUGUCUGAGUGUAUAACAGAGCUCCACAGUAAUAAUACUCCCAGUAAUGUGUCUGAGUGUAUAACAGAGCCCCACAGCAAUAAUACUCCCAGUAAUGUGUCUGAUAAUACUCCCAGUAAUGUGUCUGGGUAUAACAGAGCUCCACAGCAAUAAUACUCCCAGUAAUGUGUCUGAGUGUAUAAUGGAGCUCCACAGCAAUAAUACUCCCAGUAAAGUGUCUGAGUGUAUAACAGAGCUCCACCGCAAUAAUACUCCCAGUAAUGUGUCUGAGUGUAAAACAGAGCCCCACAGCAAUAAUACUCCCAGUAAAGUGUCUGAGUGUAUAACAGAGCCCCACAGCAAUAAUACUCCCAGUAAAGUGUCUGAGUGUAUAACAGAGCUCCACAGCAAUAAUACUCCCAGUAAUGUGCCUGAGUGUAUAACAGAGCUCCGCAGCAAUAAUGCUCCCAGUAAUGUGUCUGAGUGUAUAACGGAGCUCCGCAGAAAUAAUACUCCCAGUAAUGUGUCUAAGUGUAUAACGGAGCUCCACAGCAAUAAUACUCCCAGUAAUGUGUCUGAGUGUAUAACAGAGCUCCACAGCAAUAAUACUCCCAGUAAUGUGUCUCAGUGUAUAACAUUGCUCCACAGCAAUAAUACUCCCAGUAAUGUGUCUGAGUGUAUAACAGAGCUGCACAGAAAUAAUACUUCCAGUAAUGUGUCUCAGUGUAUAACAGAGCUCCACAGCAAUAAUACUCCCAGUAAUGUGUCUGAGUGUAUAACAGAGCUGCACAGCAAUAAUACUUCCAGUAAUGUGUCUGAGUGUAUAACAGAGCUCCACAGCAAUAAUACUCCCAGUAAUGUGUCUGAGUGUAUAACAGAGCUCCACAGCAAUAAUACUCCCAGUAAUGUGUGUCAGUGUAUAACAGAGCUCCACAGCAAUAAUACUCCCAGUAAUAAACCAUGGCACAGAGCUCCACAGCAAUAACACUCCCAGGUAAUGUGUCUGAGUGUAUCACAGAGCUCCACAGCAAUAAUACUCCCAGUAAUGUGUCUGAGUGUAUAACAGAGCUCCACAGCAAUAAUACUCCCAGUAAUGUGUCUUGAGUGUAUAACAGAGCUCCACAGCAAUAAUACUCCCAGUAAUGUGUCUGAGUGUAUAACAGAGCUCCACAACAAUAAUACUCCCAGUAAUGUGUCUGAGUGUAUAACAGAGCUCCACAACAAUAAUACUCCCAGUAAUGUGUCUGAGUGUAUAACAGAGCUCCACAGCAAUAAUACUUCCAGUAAUAUGUCUGAGUGUAUAACAGAGCUCCACAGCAAUAAUACUCCCAGUAAUGUGUCUGAGUGUAUAACAGAGCUCCACAGCAAUAAUACUCCCAGUAAUGUGUCUGAGUGUAACAGAGCUCCACAGCAAUAAUACUCCCAGUAAUGUGUCUGAGUGUAUAACAGAGCUCCACAGCAAUAAUACUCCCAGUAAUGUGUCUGAGUGUAUAGCAGAGCUCCACAGUAAUAAUACUCCCAGUAAUGUGUCUGAGUGUAUAACAGAGCUCCACAGUAAUAACACUCCCAGUAAUGUGCCUGAGUGUAUAACAGAGCGCCACAGCAAUAAUACUCCCAGUAAUGUGUCUGAGUGUAUAACAGAGCUCCACAGCAAUAAUACACCCAGUAAUGUGUCUGAGUGUAUAACAGAGCUGCACAGCAAUAAUACAGCUGAGUGUAUAACAAGCUACUCCCAGUAAUGUGUCUGAGUGUAUAACAGAGCUCCAGCAAUAAUACUCCCAAUGUGUCUGAAUGAGCUCCACAGUAAUACUCCCAGUAAUGUGUCUGAGUGUAUAACAGAGCUCCACAGCAAUAAUACUCCCAGUAAUGUGUCUGAGGGUAUAACAGAGCUCCACAGCAAUAAUACUCCCAGUAAUGUGUCUGAGUGUAUAACAGAGCUCCACAGCAAUAAUAGUCCCAGUAAUGUGUCUGAGUGUAUAACAGAGCUCCACAGCAAUAAUACUCCCAGUAAUGUGUCUGAGUGUAUAACAGAGCUCCCCAGCAAUAAUACUCCCAGUAAUGUGUCUGAAUGUAUAACAGAGCUCCACAGUAAUAAUACUCCCAGUAAUGUGUCUGAGAGUAUAACAGAGCUCCACAGCAAUAAUACUCCCAGUAAUGUGUCUGAGUGUAUAACAGAGCUCCACAGCAAUAAUACUCACCCAGACCAGCUAAUUAUAAACUGGACAUUUGUCUUCUUAUGUUUUGAAUGUAUUUAGUAGUAAAAUCAUCAGCAAAAAAAACGAGUAAAACAUUUAAGAGGAAUGAAUUGUGUUCGACGGAUUACAGAAAUACUGUAAAAAAGAUGAAAAAUUCAUUAAUUUAUGAAGGGCAGAGUAACCGUUUCAUACCUGUCGCAGAGAAUGAUAAAGAGAUACCGGUUAGUUCUCCUGUACAAUCGGUGCAGGUUGUUUGUGAACUCUUGAGUCAUUCUGAUCCAAUAAAUAUCUGUGUAUUUUCUAUUGCAGCAAUUCUAUGUCUGAAAUAAUCAUUCAAUGAAUUGAGGAAACUUCCAUUGAACAUCUAGACCAGGCAGAACCCUCAGGAUCUUGCAUCCCAUCACAUGAUCAGAAGGUCUACACAAGCUCACGGCCACUGUCCGGAUACUAUUGGACCUUUCAUAUUAAUAUUUCAGCAUCUGACAGACGGACAGAAACAUACCUCAUGGCCGUCUACACGCUGACACGUCCUCUGUGACCAGCUCUGUAUAAUGAAUGUGUUCGUCAUCCAGUCCCAAUUAUUACUGUCACAGCUUCAUGUAAAUAUCUUUUUAAUGAUUUUAUUUCCAAUAAACUGAUUAUUGAAUAA